AAAAAAAAAAAAAAGAAAAAAAAUUGAGUCAUGCUGUCUAUAUUAUUCAAUUGGUGAUUCUUUAAUCAUGGAGUCAGGUUUCAACUCAGAUUAUCUAUCUUGUUAAAUUAGAAAAUACGCUUUGAAGUUUACAUGAAAAGUUUACCAACUUUAGUAAUGCCUCAUGUGUUAUGGGUUUGGCAUUGACCAACCAUAAGUUACACAAGCUCAAAAUUCUUUUACACACAUAUCUAUUUAUUAUCAACAGUCUCUUCUUCUUCCCGUGUUGGUUUGCAGUCUGAUGUAUUCAACUAUUCAUUCAUUUUAUCACUAUCAUUAGAUACAUAAUUUAUGCAUAUCACGAACAACAACAACUGAGCCUAAAUUCCAAACUAGUUGAGGUCAACCAUAUAGAUCUUUUUCCUCUAUUUUGCUCCGUUAGACAUUAAGUCCGCAUCAAAAUCCAAAACUUGUAGAUCCUUUGAUACCAUUUCCCUCGACGUCAUCUUUGGUCUUCUCCUUCCCCCUUCUCACUCCUCUUACUAACUUACCACACUUUCGUUCUGGGGCAUUUUAUGCAUAUCACGAAAUUGAAUAAUUUUCCUGUGGGUGGAAGGCAGCUUGUUUAUGUCGCAGCUUAUUUAUGUUUGUGUUGUUGAUCUUCUGCAUUGUUGAAUAUUUCUAAUGUCCAUUCUUUAAGGGGAUACAUACACACAUGCGCGCGCACGCAUAUAAGUGCGGUAUUUUUUUAUAUCUUAUGCUGACUUCAACUGCUUAAUAUUCCAGGUAU
rnacentral:misc_RNA from 1 species